CGGACGUGUUGCUUACGUAUGGAGUAGGUUGGGUAUAACUAAUCCCUAAAUCGAAUGACGGUGGUUCCAAGGUCAUUGGGUCGAAAAAUUACACAUGAGGUACAUAUUUUCCUUUCCUUUCUUAUCAACUGUUUCAUCAUCAUUUUUUCCUACACAUGGCACAAACAUGAAAAGUCCAGAAGUGAAAUAUGAACCACGUAAAAUGACCUUGGUAAUAGGAUGAACUAUCUUCUUCCUGAACGGGUGCAACUCCAGUGCUUUUCGAUUCAUUUCUCUCUUUGAAUUUGUUCAAAAUUUGAUCCAUUGAGCUUGUUAUCAUUACAGUCACGGAAUCAUAUAGAAAAUUCAGUUCUAACUUCAUCUCCAUCAAGUCUGACCUGAUUUCUCCUCAUAUGAACAACAAUAUUCAACUUAUGACUCUUGUCAGCUGUUAAUGACAAUAACUGCGCCUUGAAAUCAUUGAUUUGCAUAGACAACUCCAUAUUUUUAAUUUGGAGUUCAUUAACUUCAUUUUUCAAAUUCUGCAACACCUAUGAUAUUUGAAAAUACAUCAAUCAUGUGGAAAAUGUAAGAUAUUGUUGUAUGUGAAUGACAUGUGACCGAUACAUGUUGGACUGUGACAUGAACAUUUUAACAGGUCAAGCAAAAAUAGUACUGUGGCUAUACACCAAUGCAUUUGUACAUGUAAAAAAAUGUAAAUGACAUGUGACACAAUGACUACGAUAUGUGGCAAAUACAUAUGUACAAGUGAAGUGCAUCACCGAACAACUGUGGAAAUUAUUAACGUGGAAUAAGAAUCUGUGACCAGUUUUCACAUGUGUUUCACUAGUUUAAUGUGAACUGACCGCGUAAUAAAAUCAAGAUUUACGAUAGAUAUAUGACAUUUGACGUAGAAUUGGCGUGCAAUUUAAAAUUCCAAACAUGAAAAUUAAAGAUAGUAACAUACAUCAAAUCCAGGUGUUUCUGCUGCAUAUGGUGGAGAAAUAUGAGCGGAUGGACCCUCGUCCACUGGUGAAUCAAUGUAUGACUGUUGCGGCUCCAUCAAAGGAUCCAUGGAAGAAUGAACAGAAAAUGAUGUCAUUUGUCGUCUUGGAGGUGGAACAACAAAAUCAUCGUUAUCCUCAAUAUCACUCGAAUGGCCUAAACGUCCAUCAGUAAUCAUUAGAAUGUGUGUCUUGGACUUGUUGAUUGGUAGCUGAAGCUUUGAACUUCUACUGUUGCGUGAUAGCAAUGCUUGUGUGGUCUAUUAUAUUGAACCCCAUCCAUAUAUGGUUUCACCAUCUCUAUCUUCGAUGGAUUGAUGUCCUGUACUUGAAGCUAUUACAAUAAAAUAAGGUAAAAGACUAGUUAUAUCCGGUUGAAUACUGAUUGUAGAAUGUGAACUGUGACAAAAAAUGGUAGAACUGUGACCUGAUAAUGAGAGUUGUGAUCACUGCAUGAAAGCUAUUUAAAGUGACGUAUGAAAUGUAAAAUUGACAGUUGAGUUUUUCUUUGAC
rnacentral:lncRNA from 1 species